rnacentral:lncRNA from 1 species
CACCGGCAACCUGUAGUUUCCUCGUCGGAUCUGUAAAAGUUUGAAGACUGUUACGGCGCCAGCUUGGGAAGUUCAUUAACUUAUCAUGUUUUUAUAGCAAACAAGAAAAGAUUGGCCAAUUAAACCAAAGAAGUCCAUCAACAAGUCUCUUAACGUGAAGUCCUUACGUAAAAAGACAAUAUGGGUUCAACAGAGAGCCUCAGAUAGAUGCCAAGACUAAACAAGAAGUUGCAUCAUGCUUGCCGAGAACAUUCUGUUCCAAUAUGGAUUUGUUCUAAAGAUAGUCAAGAGUGUAGGAAACUAGAAACAGCAAGAAUAGUACCUUUCGUUGGUAGUUUUGGGCUCUCAAAGCAUGCAGUUUCAGGUUCCGUGCUGUUUAGUCCGUCAUUCUACAAUACGUGCCGCCUGCUUUCACAGUUCCCACAAGUCGCUUUGGUCCAAUUCAAUAUAAGAAUACUCAAAAUGUCCGAUUGUCAAGAUGACAAUGGAAGUGCAUGUCAGAAAUCGUCCUGCAAGUGCUAGGGCACAUGGAAGAAAAUUGGGCAUAACUUUGUGAGUGGGGUCGCCAAGGCAAGCAAGCGAAGCCGAUAGUAAGGCUAUUUUCUUUCUGGGGGAAGUUGAUAUUUAGAACAAGUGAGGACGCUAAAUUUUCUGUAGUUAGUACCGGGAUCUGUGGAAUGGGAGUAGUAAUCUAUUGCUGAAUGGAAUGGAUAGAUAAACGGAGGGUGUUGACAAAGAGUCUUGGGAACCAUGGGGCUUAGAGACUAUAUCUUCUGAAUUUGUAGUUGAUUUUGUUGACCGAUACCAUUGACGGCAAUGGGAGCUUCAAGCCCAGGUGGUUUGCCUUUUAUCCGUUACAGAAAGAUCAGCCGGAUAGCCACAGUGCUUGGCUGAUGCUCUUUUAUCCGGAAAGGAAAGCGGAUUGUUGGCCUGGUUUUUUCCUUCACCUGGUGGCCAUGCACUUCUCAUCCGCUUGUUCUGUUACUGACAUAGUAUUUGCCUUGGAAUGAGGAGGAGGAGGGCAGGAAGACGAAUUGGGAGUAGGCAUCUUGGUUGGUAUUGUCUCGACAGAGAUAAAUGAGCUCGAGGAAGGUAAGUUUCACAAUUUCCUUUGGAGAAACAAACUAUUUUAGCUUAGCUGAGUGCGCAAUCAUUUCAGAUCCACUUUAACUUUUGUUGGGCAAUCAUUUCAGACUAAAAGUAUCGCUGCAACUGUUUCAGCACGAUAAGGCUGACUUUAACUUGACUUGGCAAUAAUUUCAGAUCAAAACUUUGUUAGCCACAUUUUAGUCUUGUGCAUCCAUUCCACAAGGUGGGUAGGGAGUCAUGAUUUUUGUCUUCUUUCGGUUCUUCUAAUUAGUAUUCGUGAUUUCGUUCCUUUGUUAAGCAGAAUUGUGGAAAGUUCAGCGAAAGGCUGCUCUUUGCCCUGUUCUGUGCCCUGUUCUUGUAACUUGCCAUGGAAAGAAAAAAUCGGUACAGUUCUUGCGGAGAAUAUCCAUAACAUCAGCUUCCCCUUUCGACUGAAAACCGACCAGAUGAUAUCUGGGGGAAAUGCGGAUUUUGAUUUUCUUGCGAGAACAACCCGUACAGUACGAACGGUAACCUUGAGAAAAUACUACGUGCAGGCCAUCGACUACAACAACAACACAAUUCGCCUCGUCGCUGUAGGCAUACGGGCAAAGAUUGUUCCACUCUUCCUCUCGAUUAAAUCCUGUCAACAAGACUUCAUAGGCUAUGAUUUGAUUAUUACGACGGUGAUACAUUGGAGAACCAAAAGCUAUUAUUAUUAUUAUUCUUACUUGGCUGUGUUCGUGGAUGUGAAAAUGCAGUGAAGCCUCCUCUUACAUAGACGGAUAUUCAUAUGUACAUCCAGCUGCUUGUGAAAAUGCACCAGGAGUUCCUCCAACCUGUCUCAAGGGGCAAUAUUCCUAUUUUCUGGUAGUAGACGUGAGGAGGAGAUAUUCCAAACUUGUGCAACGGGACGUGGUUGCUCCGGUUUCUGGUUUAUAAAUACGCAGAACAUUUCCUUCUCGGACAUCCACAAUGGGUUGGCUCAUGGAUUUGAGCUUCAGUGGUCCACGUACGGAAUUCGCCACAAAAAUUGCAUUCGGCAUACAAAAUGCUUCGAUGAUUCUCAAAAUCUCGCUGCCAUUUGCGUAAUCUAUCGUGACCCUUUAUCCUACGGAUUACUGGGUAUGGAUUUGAAGAGGUUGCGUAUUCAGACUUUCUGAUCCUUAAGGGGCCGUUGCUACCGGAUUAAAGGCGGAGGAUAAUUUUUUUCACUCGGGAUAAUUUUUUUUUCCUUGGUCGUUUGGCUCCGGAUAUAUGAGGCGGAUAAUUUCUGCCCCCGAUAAUUUAUGGCCGAAUUAGGUAGAUUAGGUGAAUAAUUUUUUUGAGUGCCUAAACCCUAACUAAAAGUUUUAUCCGGGGGACAAAGGGGUGGGGAUAAGGAAAAAAAUAUCUAAAGAGAAUAAAAUGUAUAAUUUAUAUAUAUAUCUAUAAUUUAUAUAUAUAUUAAUAAGAAAUAAAAUAUAUAUUUUUAAUAUCUAAAUUUUAUUUUUGUUUUUUCUAUAUUUUUUUUUUCUAUCCUCCACCCUUAUCCACCCAUUCUAAAAAGUAUCCAAACAAAUUUAAAAGUUAUCCCCUCUAAAAUUUAGCCCUCUCCCAUAUCCCUCCAUCAAAAGGAACCUAAAUUAAAACUCACCUUGAACUUUGGACUUUAUAGGCCUUCUAAUUAGACUUCCUCUUUCCCAAUUCAGAUGGUACAAAGGAAUUAUAAUGUGUGUAUGGACCACGUAACAGUUUUUAGUAGCCUCGUUAUAGUAAGUACUAUAAUUCUAUUAAGACGCGUAACUUCAUGAACCCUCCCGCUGAAGGUUAUGAUAAAAACAGGAAUCCUCCCUGAGAUUUAAAAAAAUUACACUUCCUCCCCUGUCAGACUUUAUUUGUCAUUAUGGCAAUCAAAUUACUAUUUUUUUGUUUGUUUUUUUUUUUUUUUUUUUUUUUUUUUUUUAUUUUUUUUUUACCCCUCCUCACUCACUCAGAGCCAUACCCACUCCACUCCCCACCACCCACUCCCCACCCCCCCCCCACCCUAUUCUUGGUUUUUCAAUUUUUUUAAAAAUCUUUUUUAUUAUUUUUUUUUAAAUCUAAUUUAAUUUCCUUUUUUAUCAAUUUUUAUUUUUCUCUGGGCUACAUAAUUUUUUAUUAUUGUUUUUUGUUUUGUUUCUUUUUUUCAUUAAUUUUAUUUUUAUUUUUAUUUUUUUAAUAAAAAAAUAGUGUUAUUACAUAAUAAACAAAAUUAAAUAAAAAAACUAUUUUUUUAUUUAUUUUUUACUAAUUUUUUUAAUUUUUAUAUAUAUUUCUUUCUUUAUUUUUUUUUUAGUUUUUAUUUAUUUUUCUUUUAUUCUUUUUUUUUUCCUUUUUUACAAAUUACUUUUUUUUAGUCCAUUAUCUACAAACUCAAAACCCUUCUUCCCCACCUCCCUCCUCCCCCCCUCCCCUCCUCUAUCCACCCUCCCCUUCCUCCCUCCCUCCCCCCUUCCCUUUCCCCCCCUCCUCCCUCCCCCCUCCUUUUUUCUUCCUUUUCUUUCUUCUUUCCUCCCCCUCUUUUUUCCUCCCCCCCUCCCCUCCCUUCCCUUCCCUUCCCCCCCUACCCCCCCCCCCCCCCUCUCUCCUCCCCCCCGCUUCUUUCUCCCCCCCUCCCCUUCCCCUUUCUCCCCCCUCUCCCUCCCUUCUCUAUCCCCCCUUUUCCCCCUUUCCCCCCCCCCCCUUUUUUUUUUUUUUUGGGCUGGGGGAGUUGAUUGAGAGGGGUAAAUAGUAAUUUGACUUGCCAUAAUGGCAAAUAAAGUUUGACAUGGGAGGAUGUGUAAUAUUUUUUAAAGGUAGGUUCCUGUUUUAUCAUAACCUCAGGGGAGGUCAGUAUAGCACAUACCCUUAUAUAAAUAGCCAAAGUGUCAAGCCUUAAGGGGACACAGAGAUGUGUUGGUUUGGGUUUAAGACACGAUACAAUCGAAUCAUCCUUCCUUGCAACUGAACCAACCCAAAUUCGAGUAACUCAUAUUAUCUUUAAAAGUGCAAGUGCUUGUUAUAAAACAAUUUUUAAAAAAAAUUGUGUAAAGUGAAAUUGUUAGUCUCAAUUUCAAUGCAAGUUCUUUUAAUGAUUAUAUAGAUCAAAGUUCAAUAUAAUAAAUGGUCACACCUAAUUAUAUGAAGACGUGCAUACUUUCAGCUAGCCUCAAGGUAACCGAAUAACGAAACAAGUCUUUUCUUUUUUUGUACAAGUCAGAGAACCAAAAACUACCUAUUUUGGAUUGAUAAUGUUUAGACCCUAAUCAAACCUUUGCCUUUAAGAGCAAACUGAAGUUCGUAUUACAUAGGUUCGGCAGGUUUUUCUCAAGUCAUUUGUCCACCCUAAUCAACUCACUCAAGUUAAUACUUGAAAGCAUAACUUCUUUCCCCUUCGCUUGUUGGUUAAGGAAAGAAGAUAAAUAUUUUUUGGAUAAGGUAAGUACUGAGUUGAGGUCUCCGUACUGAUACGGUCCAGUUAAUAACCUGUUGAGAAGUUGUUGGAUUCUAGUUGCAUUUUUUAUUUCCUUCCAAGAUGCCUUCAUCUCCUAUAGAAGAAUGUUAAUUAAAAGUUUCUUUGGGUUUAGUUGAUCUUCUCAUUACUUGUUUUUUUUUUCUUUAACUGAUUUAAUAAUAUAGCUGAAUCUACUUUUAUUUAUGUUGUAGAUUUUCUCUCAACCAGAACCAUUGGUAAGACCUCCCAUCUUAAUUUGUUUUAGUGAUAUUCAUCUUCUCAUUACUUGUUUUUGUUUUAUUUCCUUAACUGCAUCAAUUACAUAGCUGAAUCUACUUUCGUUUUCUUGUAGGUUCUUUGUUAAAUAUACCCUUAGGCAUUGGUAAGACCUCUCCUUUUAAUUUCCUCCCUUUCAACAUAGUGUGAUAUUAUUCUCAAUUCCAGUAUAACUAUAGUAAUUAUAUAAAUUACAACUACGUUUGAAUUUGAAAUUUAUCUCCUCGUUAUCUACGGCUGAAAUCAAUUGAGUUGAUCCAACGGCUCAUUUCAUUCACCACUCAAAUUUUUUGUUUUUUGCCCAAAAAUAUCACUUUCCUCUCCUCUCCUUCCAUCACUUUCACUUUCUCUCUCCUCAUAACUCUCACUUUCUCUCCUCUCAUCAAUUUCAUAUCAACCCUUUUAUACUUUUUUAAUACCCAUUUAUUCUUUUUUUUUUUACUUUCAUUUUUGAAUUUUUAUAAUAAUUUUUUUUUAUAAAAUUUUAUAACCCUUUUAAUUUCUUUUUUUGUUUUUAAUAUCCCUUGAUUCUUUUGUUGUUUAUUUUUACUUUCAUUUUCAAUUUUUAUAUAACAAAACUAUGAUAAUUUUUAUAAUUUUUUUACUCUACCUUAUUUUUUUUAAAAGAAAAAAUAUGAAUCAAGAUUUUUAAAUAUUAAUUUUUAAAAUUUUCGGUGGGUAGUAGUUAUAUGUUAUUUGUUAUUUUCAGCCUUUUUUUUAACAUCCCUGAUUCUUUUUUUUUACUUUCACUUCUUGAAUUUUUAUAUUAAAAAAUAAUAAUUUCUUUUGGAGGAGAUAUUGAUAGAAAUUAUGUUCUUAUGUAUGUGGCAUUUACGCCUGUAUUAAUACGUUAAAAAAUAUUAUUUUUCUAUGUAUGUUUUAUGAAUAAAUUCAAACUACUAAAAAAUGCAUUAUUAUUUUUCAAGUAUAUCCUCAAAUAACGAAUAACAUAAACUAUCAAACCCAUCGAAAUUUAAAAAAAAUGUUAAAAAUUUUGAUCCAUUUUUUUUUUUUAAAUAAUAAAAACAUAGUUUGGGAGUAAAACUAUAUAAAAAUUUGGAAGUGAAGUAAAAAUAAAAAAUAAGAAUUAAGGGGUAUUAAAAAAAAAAUAAAAAAGAUUAUAAAUUUUAUCUAUUUUUUUAUAUAAAAAUUCGGAGUGAAAGUAAAAAAAAAAAAGGAAUUAAUAUUUCCAUUAACAAAAGAAUAAAUGGUAUUAAAAAAAAAAUAAAUAGUUUUGAUUGCAAAUUGUAAGUUUGAGAGAAUUUAGAGUAACAGUUAAAAAGUCAAAAAAAAAAGGUCACAUUGAGGGGGUGAGGUUGUAGGGGUGAAAAUCAGCUCUCUUAUGUUAGUUUUAGAUUUAGAUUAGUUAGUUUUAAUGAGAAAGUAACUGAGAGAUCCUUAUUGUGAUCAAUUUUUCUUUUUUAUUUUUAUUUUUAUAAUUUGUUUUCUUUCUUCUUUCGAUGAAAAUCACAAUUGAUGAAUAUUUUUUUUUUUUUUGCGUGCACGGAUAAUUCUAGUAGUCAUUAAUAAGUACAAAGCUCACCAGCAAAUAAAUGGUCCCAGCUAGAGAAAGUUUUUACUUUUUUUUUGGUUAAAGGAAAGAAAAAGGGGAAAAAUGGGGUGGAUAGUCUGAUCUCAUUGUCCUACUCGAAGGUUGUAACAUAAUAUCUUCAGAAUGGGUUGGACAUCCAGUUGGAUUUCUUAUUUAGGCCUUCGGUAAGACUAAUUGAAUGCUUCUUUAAGUUUGGUUGAUCUUCUCACUACUUUUUUUUUUGUAUUUUUUUCUUUAACUGCUUUAAUCGUAUGACUGAAGCUUCUUUCAUUUGUCUUACAGGUUAUUUCUUAAUAGUGCUAGGUAAGACCAAUUAUCUCAAUUUCUCCUCUUCCAAUAAUCAAUUAUGAAAAUUAUAAUAUGAAGGAACGAAAUAUAAUGCAACGAUGGGUAAAGAAAAAUAUGGAUUUUGAACCACAAUAUUCGCUCCAUCCUAAUAUAUUUGUCCAUCUUUUCAAUUUGAAAUGUCCCAAGAUAUAUGUUCACUUCGAAAAAUCAAAGCAUAAAACUUGUUAGUAUUUCUAAACUAUACCUUAUAAGUGGUUGUAGAGAUAUAGGGGAAAUUCUUGGAAAUUACUACUUUUAGAUUUGUUUUUGCAAAUGCAUGUUCUUGCAAAAGGUUGUAACUCUGUAAAGGGACAAAUAAAUUGAGAAUGGAGGGAGUAUCUUGCAAAUUUGGUGAUAGCUCUAGGGCAAAUUUUUUUCCCCUCUUCUUAUUGGUUAAUCUGUGAUCUUUUCAUAUGCAGGUUGAUCCUUGUAAUAAUAGUUAUGCAACACCAGUGUGUGGUGGGUUUGUUAAAAUCUAUAAGUUUAGAAGAAGACAUUUAUCCAUGUUUGAUAGCAUCGAAGGUUUCCUACGAAGCCAAAUAACCUCAUGCCAUUAGCUACUCUUUACUCUUACUCAGACAUUAAAGAAAAUGACCAAAGGUUUCACGGACAGUUGGGCGAAGGAGGCUAACGGUUCUGUAUAUCAAGGAAAGCUUAGAAGUGGCCGUCUUGUAGCAUUAAAGGUAUUGGGCAAGCCCAAGCCAUGGGCAAGAAUUCAUCAAUGAAGUUUGCCUACCAAUAGGAAGGAAUUCAUCACACUAAUGUGUUCAACUAGUUGGAUAUUUGUGCUUAGAGAUCUAAGCGUGCCCUUUUUAACGACUUC